AGCGAACGCUGGCGGCAUGCUUAACACAUGCAAGUCGCACGGGCAGGGCAACCUGUCAGUGGCGGACGGGUGAGUAACGCGUAGGUAUCUAUCCUUGGGUGGGGGACAACGGUUGGAAACGACUGCUAAUACCGCAUGAUAACUGAGGUUUAAAGGCGCAAGUCGCCUGAGGAGGAGCCUGCGUACGAUUAGCUAGUUGGUGGGGUAAAGGCCUACCAAGGCUAUGAUCGUUAGCUGGUCUGAGAGGAUGAUCAGCCACAUUGGGACUGAGACACGGCCCAAACUCCUACGGGAGGCAGCAGUGGGGAAUAUUGGACAAUGGGCGAAAGCCUGAUCCAGCAAUGCCGCGUGUGUGAAGAAGGUCUUCGGAUUGUAAAGCACUUUCGACGGGGACGAUGAUGACGUACCCGUAGAAGAAGCCCCGGCUAACUUCGUGCCAGCAGCCGCAGUAA
rnacentral:rRNA from 1 species